AUGGCGAGCGGCGGCGGGGGAGUGAUGGCCGGGAAGAAGAGGAAGUCCGCGGAGAUUGGCCGCGUGGACGUGCCGGCCAGGCGGGAGCCGCGGCGCGGGCUCGGGGUGGCGGCGCUGGAGAGCAUCAGGGCGCAGCUCGAGACGGCGGAGAGCUUCUACGUGUUCCCGUCGCUCGCGACGGCGACGGCGGCGGCGCCGCCUCCGACGGCCCCGCUGCCGUCCCUGCUGGCCGGGCACGUCGCCGGCGUGCGGUUCGAUCCCUAUGUCGGAAAUGGAGCAGCGCAGAGGGAGUACUAUCCUCACUACUAUGGCGCCGACCACUACACUUUGGCACGCAGGUACAUGCAGCAGCUGCAGGCGUCGAGCGGCCAGCCGGCGCCACGCCACCAUGAUCACCACCGUGCAUGGCAGAGCAACGCCGCAGCCGUCGCUCCACCGGCGCCGCCUGUCUUGGAGCAGGACCACCGCCGUCGAGCGCAGGCGCACGGUGGCCAUGCGAGGAAGCCUCGUGUUGCGUUCGUGGACCUCGUCGACUCCGACGAGGAGGACAGCCGCGGCGGUGCCGGAGAAGAACUGGACCUCGAGCUCAAGCUCUAG
rnacentral:rRNA from 1 species